AUUGAACGCUGGCGGCAGGCCUAACACAUGCAAGUCGAGCGAGCGGCGGACGGGAGAGUAAUGUAUGGGGCUCUGACCGAUAGAGGGGGAUAACUAAUGGAAACGGUUGCUAAUACCGCAUACUAACGGAUGGAACCACUUGGGAUUAGCUAGUAGGUGGGGUAUAGGCUCACCUAGGCGAAGAUCUAUAGCUGGUCUGAGAGGAUGAUCAGCCACACUGGAACUGAGACACGGCCCAGACUCCUACGGGAGGCAGCAGUGGGGAAUAUUGCACAAUGGGCGCAAGCCUGAUGCAGCCAUGCCGCGUGUAUGAAGAAGGCCUUAGGGUUGUAAAGUACUUUCAGCGGGGAGGCGUUACCCGCAGAAGAAGCACCGGCUAACUCCGUGCCAGCAGCCGCGGUAAUUC
rnacentral:rRNA from 1 species